UGUGAAUCAAGAAUUUUAUUAAAAUCAGUCAGACCAACAGUCAAUCACAAAAGGUGUGGACAAAAUUACUGAUAUACACAAAACUGAAGGAAUAUUGUACCUUGAGUCCUUCCUGAGGAACUCAUUAGAGAACAAGUUUCAGACAACAAAAUGAAAAAAGACGUUGACAUAAGGACUGGAGGUAAGCACUAAAUGCAUAGUUACUGAACUAAUACUGAUGUUUACAGGGAGAGUGUAGUAUGCCCCCUGCUGUUGAUGUGCUCUGACAAGGCAGGAAGAGCACAGCUAUUUAAAAAAUGAGGGGAGACCCCUCAAGGAGCUGGAGCUUAGUCCCUCAUCCCUUGAAUGUGGGCUAUACUUAGGGACUUGUUUCCAAAAAGUGGCUAAUGAAAAGGAGGUGGGGCUAACUUUACAAUUACACACUACACAUAAAACAUGUGUUUGUAUACCUGUCUACUUAAAAAGUCCUAAAGACAAUCACAUACUCAAUAGCAAUAAUCACCCCACUGCCUAGAUUGUGAUGUUUAAGCACCACUUUCCAGAAACUGAAACCAGGGACUCAGAGAAAUGACCAGUUUGAGAAGCAGGAAAUAUACAAGAUGUAUUGGGAAUAUUUUGCCAUACCAGAGAGCAAAAUGAUAACAAAGAGUUAGGAGUCAACCUGAAGAUACUCCUACUGCCUGCUAACAUUAUAAAAAGAGAUAAAAUUAGGCAGUAAGUAACUCCUAUGGAGAGAAUACAACACUGCACAUAGUCCUACCAAAAUAAAAAUUCAAAUAUGAUGUGACCAAGAUUCUGGAUCCAGAAAAUAGAGAAUCAUGUCUUACUAUACUAUUAAGCAUAACUGGCAAAAAUUAGACUAUGGAAAACUAAAAAUUAAAGAAUUGAGUCCCUUAAACAAAUUGUAAGAAAAAAAGAACAGAAAGCCCAUCUAUAGAUUGAAGAUUUAAAAGGCAUUUCAAAGACAAUAAGAAUAUAAGCAAGAUAAACUGUAAUGUUUAGAUAGACAAAAUUUAUUAAAACCAUAAACAAAUGCAAAACUGUGAUUAGUAUAAAUGUCAAGAUAGAGGAGUCCAUUAAUAGCAGAGUUGAUUUACUAAGAUAAAUCACAUUCUGGGCCAUAAAACACAUGUUAGCAAAUGUAACAGAACAGAAACCAUAUAAAGAACAUUUUCAAACUACAGUAAAAUUAAAAUAGAAAUCAAUAACGGAAAGUGAAAGUCACUCAGUCAUGUCUGACUCUGUGACACCAUGGACUAUACAGUCCAUGGACUUCUCUAGGGCAGAAUACUGGAGUGGGUAGCCUUUCCCUUCUCCAGGGGAUCUUCCCAACCCAGCGAUCAAACCCAGGUCUCCCGCAUUGCAGGAUUCUUUACCAGCUGAGCCACAAGGGAAGCCCAAGAAUACUGAAAAUUCCAAAAUAUUUUGAGAUUAAACAAUGUACUUCUAAACAACACAUGGGUCAAAGAAAUUUCAAGAGAAGUUAAAUAUUUUUGAACUAAAUGAAAAUGAAAUACAAAUUUUCAAAAUUUGCAAGAUUAAAUGAAAAUGGUGUUUAGAAGGAAAUGUAUGGCUCUAAAUACAUGUAGUAAAAAAAGAAAAGAAAGAUUGAAGAUCAAUAAUCUAA
ensembl:lncRNA